AGUAGACUUAGAGGAAGAGGAGGAGAAGAAGUAGAUGAAGAGAAAGAAGAGGAGGAAGGAGGGGUCAUGAGUGAGCUUGGAGGAGUAAGAAGAGGAAAAAAUGUGAAUGAGAAAGAAGGGGAGGAAGGAAAGGAGAGAUCGCUAUGAGAAAGAGACAGAGAUGGUAGGAGCCACCAUGGAGAGGGAUGUAGGUGAGCUUAGAGGAGGACGAGAAGUGGG
rnacentral:lncRNA from 1 species